rnacentral:misc_RNA from 1 species
UUCAUUUCAUUUACCCAGUAACAUCGCAUACUGCUACUGGAGGGAUCAUAAUUUGCGGAGGGUGAUAUAUAGGGAUUCACCUAUAUGCAGGGAGGGGAGUGUGUUGAUUCUUCACUGAGAUUCAUAGGAACCAAGAGCAUUCAAAAGGAUAUGAAUCUAAAGAACAAGAAAAUUGAAAUAUAAAUGAAGAAAUAGAACGAGAUACAACAAAACAAAAAGACUAUUACCAGUUGCACACAGGAAAACAAGCUUGAAGUCGCAAGUUUUUAUCUCACCUAUAAAUUAGACUUGUGGAAUUGUAAUUUAAGUUGAACACUUCAAACUAACCAAAGAGAAG